GAUCAAGCGUCUUGAAGAGCAUUUGGUGGAUGCCUUGGUACAGAGAGGCGAUGAAGGACGUGACACGCUGCGAUAAGCUGUGGGGAGUCGUGAGUAGGCUUUGAUCCGCAGAUUUCCGAAUGGGGAAACCCAAACCAUUUUGGUUUAUCCCGCAAGGGAGGCAAACCCAGCGAACUGAAAUAUCUAAGUAGCUGGAGGAAAGGACAUCAACCGAGACUCCGUUAGUAGUGACGAGCGAACGCGGACCAGGCCAGUGGCCAAUUUGAAAACAACCAGAAUGACCUGGAAAGGUCAGCCAUAGUGGGUGAUAGCCCCGUAUGGGUAAUGUUUCAUUUUGGUCCUUGAGUAGGGCGGGACACGAGAAAUCCUGCUUGAACAUGGGGGGACCACCCUCCAAGCCUAAGUACUACUCUGUGACCGAUAGCGAACAAGUACCGUGAGGGAAAGGUGAAAAGAACCCCUAUGAGGGGAGUGAAACAGACCUGAAACCGAAUGCUUACAAACAGUAGGAGCUACAUUAAGUAGUGACUGCGUACCUUUUGUAUAAUGGGUCAGCGAGUUAAUUUAUUGAGCAAGCUUAAGCCGUUAGGUGUAGGCGAAGCGAAAGCGAGUAUGAAUAGUGCGAUUUAGUUCGAUGGAUUAGACCCGAAACCGGGUGAUCUAGCUAUGGGCAGGUUGAAGGUGCGGUAACACGCACUGGAGGACCGAACCCACGUCUGUUGAAAAAGACGGGGAUGACCUGUGGCUAGGGGUGAAAGGCCAAUCAAACCCGGAGAUAGCUGGUUCUCCGCGAAAACUAUUUAGGUAGUGCGUUAUAUAUUACUGCCGGGGGUAGAGCACUGGAUGGGCUAGGGGGGCGCGAGCCUUACCAAACCUAACCAAACUCCGAAUACCGGUAAGUACAGUAUAGCAGACAGUCCAUGGGUGCUAAGGUCCUUGGACGAGAGGGAAAGAGCCCAGACCACCAGCUAAGGUCCCUAAGUUAUGGCUAAGUGGGAAAGGAUGUGGGAAGGCCAAGACAGCCAGGAGGUUGGCUUAGAAGCAGCCAUCCUUUAAAGAAAGCGUAACAGCUCACUGGUCUAAAUAAGCCGGCCUGCGCCGAAGAUGUAACGGGGCUAAAGCCAUACACCGAAGCUGUGGAUGCCGAAAGGCAUGGUAGCGGAGCGUUCUGUAAGCCGCUGAAGGUAACACGUGAGUGUUAUUGGAGGUAUCAGAAGUGAGAAUGCUGACAUGAGUAGCGAUAAAGAGUGUGAGAAACACUCUCGCCGAAAGCCCAAGGGUUCCUGCGCAAGGUUAAUCCACGCAGGGUUAGUCGGCCCCUAAGAUAAGUGCGAAAGCAGUAGUCGAUGGGAACACGGUUAAUAUUCCGUGACCUGAUGGAAGUGACGGAUGGUGUAAAUUGUAAAUGCUUAUCGGAUUGUGUUUGCAGUGAAACCGUUCCAGGAAAUAGCUCCAUCAUUAAGACCGUACCCGAAACCGACACAGGUGGGCAGGUAGAGAAUACCAAGGCGCUUGGGAGAAUGAUGUUGAAGGAACUCGGCAAAAUGCACCCGUAACUUCGGGAUAAGGGUGGCCUGUUCUGGGCAACCAGAAGCAGGUAGCAUUAAAUAGGGGGUAGCGACUGUUUAUUAAAAACAUAGGGCUCUGCAAAGUGGCAACACGACGUAUAGGGUCCGACGCCUGCCCGGUGCUGGAAGGUUAAGAGGAGUUGUGCAAGCAGCGAAUUGAAGCCCCAGUAAACGGCGGCCGUAACUAUAACGGUCCUAAGGUAGCGAAAUUCCUUGUCGGGUAAGUUCCGACCUGCACGAAUGGCGUAACGACUUCCCCGCUGUCUCCAACAUCAACUCAGCGAAAUUGAAUUCCCCGUGAAGAUGCGGGGUACCCGCGGUCAGACGGAAAGACCCCGUGCACCUUUACUACAGCUUUGCAGUGGCAUCAGGAAGCCGAUGUGCAGGAUAGGUGGGAGGCUUGGAACUUGUAGCGCCAGCUAUGAGGGAGCCAACCUUGAGAUACCACCCUUCUGCUUUCUGUUGUCUAACCGAGAUCAGUUAUCCUGGUCCGGGACCCUGCAUGGUGGGUAGUUUGACUGGGGCGGUCGCCUCCCAAAUGGUAACGGAGGCGCGCGAUGGUAGGCUCAAACCGGUCGGACAUCGGUUGUUGAGUGCAAUGGCAUAAGCCUGCCUGACUGUGAGACUGACAAGUCGAGCAGAGACGAAAGUCGGUCAUAGUGAUCCGGUGGUUCUGCGUGGAAGGGCCAUCGCUCAACGGAUAAAAGGUACGCCGGGGAUAACAGGCUGAUACCCCCCCAAGAGUUCACAUCGACGGGGGUGUUUGGCACCUCGAUGUCGGCUCAUCACAUCCUGGGGCUGGAGCAGGUCCCAAGGGUUUGGCUGUUCGCCAAUUAAAGUGGUACGUGAGCUGGGUUUAGAACGUCGUGAGACAGUUCGGUCCCUAUCUGCCGUGGGUGUUCGAAUCUUGAGAGGAGCUGUCCCUAGUACGAGAGGACCGGGAUGGACGCACCUCUGGUGUACCAGUUGUCGCGCCAGCGGCAUAGCUGGGUAGCUAUGUGCGGAAAGGAUAACUGCUGAAAGCAUCUAAGCGGGAAGCCUCCCUCAAAACUAGGAUUCGCCGAGAACCGUGGAAGACUACCACGUUGAUAGGCUAGGUGUGGAAGCGCAGUAAUGUGUGAAGCUAACUAGUACUAAUAGUUCGAUCGGCUUGAUCGU
rnacentral:rRNA from 1 species